GCAGCACACCUGGCGGGCACCGGGCCAGCCCUUGCUCAGAUUCAGGCUCGAGCCCGCCGGACCCAGACCGAGCGUCUCGUCCCACUCCCAAGUGCGCCGACCCGGAGGGAAGGAGGGACAUGGGGACAUGAACGCUCCUGAUGUGAGCUCCAAUGAUGCUGACCUGCUAUGAGCUCUCAAACUGAAGGAAAAGUCUUGAUCCUCUUGGCCCAGAAGCAGGGGGCUGAUCACAAUGACCCCAGUUCCUCUGCUGCUGUAUUACAACCCAGCUGGAUGGAGCACUUCCCUUCCAGGGGAAGGUGGCUGAGGCAGAAGCAGGGUGUGAGAAACUACUGAUGCCAGCUGGCUCUUGUCCUCAGAAGUACUCUGAAAUUAGUUUACCUGCUUGUUUAACCAAAGAGAAUGUAAGUUCCUAGAGCAGGGGUUAACAAAUUUUUUUUCUGAAGAGCCAGCUAGUAAACAUUUUAGGCUUUCUCAGCCAUAUGGUCUCUGUUGCAACUACUCGACUCUGCUGUUGUAGUGUGAAAGCAGCCCUAGACCAUACGUAAACGGAGCGUGGCUGUGCUCCAAUAAAACUUUAUUUAUGGAUA